rnacentral:rRNA from 1 species
AGCAGCAGCCGCGGUAAUACGGAGGGUGCAAGCGUUAAUCGGAAUUACUGGGCGUAAAGCGCACGCAGGCGGUCUGACAAGUCAGAUGUGAAAUCCCCGGGCUUAACCUGGGAACUGCAUUUGAAACUGUCAGGCUGGAGUCUUGUAGAGGGGGGUGGAAUUCCAGGUGUAGCGGUGAAAUGCGUAGAGAUCUGGAGGAAUACCGGUGGCGAAGGCGGCCCCCUGGACAAAGACUGACGCUCAGGUGCGAAAGCGUGGGGAGCAAACAGGAUUAGAUACCCGCGUAGUCCCUGUCUCUUAUAC